UAAAUUAUUUAUCCAAUCCUUUUGCAGUUAUGAGGUCAAGCAAACCCCUAUCAUCCUUUCAUACCUAGAACUGACACCACCCGUUCUGGGAGCCUAGGCUGCUGUUUAAUUCUGGCAGUUCCUCCACUAGAGCACCACAGUUGGAGUUAAAAAUGUGGUUUUCUGAAGCCAUGUGGUUAGAGUUAAACCUUGGCUUCUCUAUUUCAUUUUAUCUGGUGUUACAAUAUUGGGCUUUAAAUCCUCUCUGAAAAUACUUGGGAAAUAGAAAAACCCUCAUGUGUCCCACUGAAAAAUAUUCCUGGUUUCUUCCUAUAGAAAAGUGGAGUAUCUAAAUUUCUUGGUCUGAAUGCAGCUUUAAGAAGGAUGUCCAUCAUAUUGU
rnacentral:lncRNA from 1 species